ACAGAGGUCUCAAGCGUUGUUCGGAUUCAUUGGGCGUAAAGGGUGCGUAGGUGGCGAUGUAAGUCGGAUGUGAAAUCUCCAAGCUUAACUUGGAAACUGCAUUCGAUACUGCGUUGCUAGAGGACUGUAGAGGGCAUUGGAAUUCACGGUGUAGCAGUGAAAUGCGUAGAUAUCGUGAGGAAGACCAGUGGCGAAGGCGAAUGCCUGGGCAGUUCCUGACACUGAGGCACGAAGGCCAGGGGAGCAAACGGGAUUAGAUACCCCGGUAGUCCUGGCAGUAAACGGUGCACGUUUGGUGUGGGAGGAUUCGACCCCUUCCGUGCCGGAGCUAACGCGUUAAACGUGCCGCCUGGGGAGUACGGUCGCAAGAUUA
rnacentral:rRNA from 1 species